UUAUCUUCCUAGCACCUUCCUUGGCUGUCUGUCAACUUGACCCCACCCAUUUCAGUUAGUCUCUUUAUGACCCUGCUUUAUUUCCUUUCUUGUCCUGAUCAUUAUAUGGCCUUAUUUUAUGCAUCUAUUUACGUGUUUAUUAUCCUUCUCUGCUACUGGAACAUUAGCUCCAUGAGGACCCCAAUCUGUUUUACUUUCUGAUGCACACACAGUGGCCAUAAAGGCAAUGCCCGACACACAGUAAGUGCACAAUAAAUAUAUGCUGAAUAAAUGAAUAAGUGAGAAGGAAAAAAAAGGAAAAGAGAGGGAAAGGUUGAAAGAGAAGCCUGUCAGAACUGUUUUCCGUGCUAUUCAGUGGCUACUUCAAUUCAUUGCAUUGAUGAAAAUAGUUCUCAUUUGCCUGACUGAUCUCUUUUCUUCUUGAUUGUAAAGAUAGUUGAAUUAAUUUCACCUCUGCUUUUAUUCAUACCAUUACACUGAACCAACCCAGGAUGAGGAGUGUUUCAUUAUCCCUAGGAGCACUAGCCUGCUUUAUUUAUAAAUGUUGGUUUGUUCAUUUUACAGUUUUGGUUUUUAUUAGAUUUUAUAUGUUUAAGUAAACUCCUUAAUCUACUCUGGAUCUGUUUGUUUUGGAUUCCAAAGUCAACAUGGGUGUGGGUUUGGGCAUGGCUUGGAGUUUGAGAGAAGUUGCUAAGGAGAGCUGAACUAUCCUGCAUAAUAACAGAUGGGGUAUGGGGAAUCCCAGGAAGGUGAGGUACACCUCUAGUCUGUGGAAAACACAGAACAGUGAAAAUCUGGAAGACAACACCGAGGUUGGGAAAGCUCCCCAAUUGGAAAGAGCAGUGGAGGAGGAGGACCAAAAGAGAAAUCAGGAUCUGGAAGCGUUGCCUCUGUUGAAAUAAAAUAAAUGGAACCAAAGACUCUACUCAUGAAGGUCUGUAUUAAUCAGCUCAGGCUGCCAUAACCAAAUACCACUGCCGGGGGUCUCUUUAACAAUAGGAAGUUAUCUUCUCACAGUGCUGUGGCUGGAAGUUCCUGAUUAAGGUGCGGACCAAUUUGGACAUUUUGAGAUCUCUCUUCCUAUCUUGUAAGAAGAUAGCUACCCUCUCAACAGGUCCUCGUGUGACUUUUUUUUUUUUUUUUUUUUUUGUGGAAACAGGAAGAGAAAACUCUGAUGUCUCAUCUGCUUAUGACCUCAUUUAGCUCAAUUACCUCCAUAAGAUUCCUAUCUUCAAAUACAGUCACACGGAGGGUUGGGGCUUCAACAUAUAAAUUCAGGGGGACACAGUUCGAUUUGUAACAAGAUCCAAGUGACCUGAUAGCAAAAACCAAAGUGAUCAUGUAGUAAUAAUUCAUAAAGGCAGAUGGUAGCUCAUGGUCUGGACAGGAAACGGAGCUGGAUCCAGCAGCUGGUGCUGGGAGCCUCAGCCUGCUCCACCAUACCAGAGAACAGAUCUGAAUUUCACAGGUAGGGGUGAAGAGCAGACACACUUGCCAGGGUUAAAAUAACACGGGCAAAAGCAAUUCAGACCAGACACAAGUCUCCUUUGAAGACCUAUUCAAUCAUGUAGGACAGGAUCUGCCAAUAGGCUUAUACUGCACCCAACAGAACCUUACCAGAAACCUCUUUAGCCAUUCCCAAAGUUCUAAACAUGGUACUUGGAGUUAUCAAAGUGUUAGCAUAAGUUCUAGUCUCCUUUGGGUGUUUUGUGUCAUCCUACACUUAUAAAUAGGUAACUUGCAUGGCCCUUAAGCCAGAAAUCACA
rnacentral:lncRNA from 12 species